AGCAGUGGCAACGCGCUCGAGUCCCCUUCCACACUGUGGAAGCUUUGUUCUUUCGCUCUUUGCAAUAAAUCUUGCUACUGCUCACUCUUUGGGUCCACACUGCUUUUAUGAGCUAUAACACUCACUGCGAAGGUCUGCAGCUUCAUUCCUAAAGCCAGAGAGACCACAAGCCCACCGGGAGGAAAAAACAACUCCAGAUGUGCCGCCUUAGGAGCUGUAACACUCACCUCGAAGGUCUGCAGCUUCACUCCUGAGCCAGCGAGACCACGAACCCACCAGAAGGAAGAAACUCCAAACACAUCCGAACAUCAGAAGGAACAAACUCCAGACGCGCCACCCUAAGAGCUGUAACACUCACCGUGAAGGUCUGCAGCUUCACUCCUGAGCCAGCGAGACCACGAACCCACCAGAAGGAAGAAACUCCAAACACAUUCGAACAUCAGAAGGAACAAACUCCAGACGCGCCACCUUAAGAGCUGUAACACUCACCGCGAGGAUCCGUGGUUUCAUUCUUGAAGUCAGUGAGACCAAGAACCCACCAAUUCCGGACACAAUUUGGGUAUAUACCCAGUAAUGGGAUGGCUGGGUCAAAUGGUAUUUCUAUUUCUAGAUCCUUGAGGAAUCGCCACACUGUCUUCCACAAUGGUUGAACUAGUUUACAGUCCUACGAACAGUGUAAACAUGUUCCUAUUUUUUAUUUCCUUUCCUCUGCUGACUUUGUGCUUAGUUUAUUUUUCUUUUUCAAGUUUCUUGAGUUGCAAAGUUUGUUUGGUUAUUUAAGGUUUUUUUCUUAAUGUGGGCAUUAUUUUCCAGUAUAAACUUUCCUCUUAGUCCUGUUUUUAUCUGUAUCGCAUAAGUUUUGGCAUGUCGUGUUUCCAUU
rnacentral:lncRNA from 10 species